UACGGGGGGGGCAAGCGUUGUUCGGAAUUACUGGGCGUAAAGGGCUCGUAGGUGGCCAACUAAGUCAUACGUGAAAUCCCUCAGCUUAACUGGGGAACUGCGUCUGAUACUGGAUGGCUUGAGUUUGGGAGAGGGAUGCGGAAUUCCAGGUGUAGCGGUGAAAUGCGUAGAUAUCUGGAGGAACACCGGUGGCGAAGGCGGCUCAC
rnacentral:rRNA from 1 species